rnacentral:ncRNA from 1 species
AUAAAUACUAUGAUAGGGACAUGGUGCAGAAGAUUUCCUUACAGAGAGCUGUCAGCUGCUGGAAGACAGUAGGAUAUACUGAAACCAAAUCAUCCUUGAGUAGACAGGCUGAAACUUGAUAAUAUGGGGAUUAAGCGUGUACGGUUUCUCACCGUUAAAUGAGAGUACAUUGUUAGAUGUACAUUAAGUGGUCGUUUUACACGGCAAUUUAGAGUGGUACCACGGAAGCUUUUAACAGCCUUCGUCUCUAUG